AGCGCGCCCCGGCUUGAGUGGAGCUCUUUUUGUCAUUGCGAUGGUACAAAAUUUCUUUGAACGACCUUCCGUGGUUCGCAAUGGCAAAAAAGCGGGAACGGAAGACGGAUAAAGGC
rnacentral:misc_RNA from 1 species